rnacentral:rRNA from 1 species
GUCCACGCUGUAAACGAUGGGCACUAGGUGUCGCGGGUAUUGACCCCUGCGGUGCCGCAGCUAACGCAUUAAGUGCCCCGCCUGGGGACUACGGCCGCAAGGUUAAAACUCAAAGGAAUUGACGGGGGCCCCGCACAAGCGGUGGAGCAUGUGGUUCAAUUCGACGCAACGCGAAGAACCUUACCCGGGCUAGACAACAGAGGACAGCUCUAGAAAUAGGGUCUUCCCUUCGGGGACCUCUGGUUCAGGUGCUGCAUGGCUGUCGU